GAUCCUGGCUCAGAUUGAACGCUGGCGGAAUGCUUUACACAUGCAAGUCGAACGGUAGAGGGGGCAACCCCUUGAGAGUGGCGAACGGGUGAGUAAUAUAUCGGAACGUGCCCAGUCGUGGGGGAUAACGUAGCGAAAGUUACGCUAAUACCGCAUACGAUCUAAGGAUGAAAGCGGGGGAUCGCAAGACCUCGCGCGAUUGGAGCGGCCGAUAUCAGAUUAGGUAGUUGGUGGGGUAAAGGCUCACCAAGCCAACGAUCUGUAGCUGGUCUGAGAGGAUGAUCCGCCACACUGGAACUGAGACACGGUCCAGACUCCUACGGGAGGCAGCAGUGGGGAAUUUUGGACAAUGGGGGCAACCCUGAUCCAGCCAUGCCGCGUGAGUGAAGAAGGCCUUCGGGUUGUAAAGCUCUUUCGGCCGGGAAGAAAUCGUAUGGGUUAAUACCCUGUGCGGAUGACGGUACCGGCAUAAGAAGCACCGGCUAACUACGUG
rnacentral:rRNA from 1 species